CCAGACUCCUACGGGAGGCAGCAGUGAGGAAUAUUGGUCAAUGGCCGGAAGGCUGAACCAGCCAAGCCGCGUGAAGGACGAAGGUGCCAAGCAUUGUAAACUUCUUUUGUCAAGGGACAAAAUCAGGCUCGAGAGCCUGACCGAGGGUACUUGAAGAAAAAGCAUCGGCUAACUCCGUGCCAGCAGCCGCGGUAAUACGGAGGAUGCGAGCGUUAUCCGGAUUUAUUGGGUGUAAAGGGUGCGUAGACGGGAAAACAAGUUAGUUGUGAAAUCCCUCGGCUUAACUGAGGAACUGCAACUAAAACUAUUUUUCUUGAGUGUUGGAGAGGAAAGUGGAAUUCCUAGUGUAGCGGUGAAAUGCGUAGAUAUUAGGAGGAACACCAGUGGCGAAGGCGACUUUCUGGACAAUAACUGACGUUGAGGCACGAAAGUGUGGGGAGCAAACAGGAUUAGAUACCCUAGUAA
rnacentral:rRNA from 1 species